ensembl:lncRNA
UCCGUGGAUGAUGCAAUCAAUAUGGAUUUGCACUUCAUCCUACAACAUCUGGACAAAACAGGGACUUAUGUGAGGAUCCUGUUUGUGGACUUUAGUUCGGCUUUCAACACCAUCAUCCCAACAGCCAUCCAGACCAAACUGACCCAACUCUCUGUUCCUAGCUCUAUCUGUCAGUGGAUAACCAGCUUUCUGACAGACAGGCAACAGCUAGUGAGACUGGGGAAAUUCAUGUCAAACAGCCAUUCCACCAACACUGGUGCCCCUCAGGGAUGUGUUCUCUCCCCACUGCUCUUCUCCCUGUACACUAACGACUGCACCUCAAAAGACCACUCUGUCAAGCUCCUGAAGUUUGCAGACGACACUAUAGUCAUUGGCCUUAUCCAGGACGGUGACGAGUCUGCUUACAGACAAGAGAUUGAGCAGUUGGCUGUCUGGUGCAGUCUUAACAACCUGGAGCUGAACACUCUCAAAACAGUGGAGAUGAUUGUGGACUUUAGGAGAAACCCCCCUGCACUCCCCCCACUCACCAUCAUAGACAGCACUGUGGCUGCAGUGGAGUCAUUCAGAUUCCUGGGAACCACCAUCUCUCAGGACCUGAAGUGGGACAAUCACAUGGACUCCAUUGUUAAAAAGGCCCAACAAAGGUUGUACUUCCUUCAUCAGCUGAGGAAAUUUAACCUGCCACAGGAGCUGCUGAAACAGUUCUACUCAGCCGUCAUUGAGUCUGUCCUGUGUACUUCAAUAGUUGUCUGGUUUGGUUCAGCUACAAAAUCAGACAUCAGAAGACUACAGAGAAUGGUUCGGACUGCUAAAAAGGAUUAUUGGUGCUCCCCUGCCCACCCUUCAAGAAUUGUAUACAUCCAGAGUGAGGAAAAGGGCUCGGAAAAUCACUCUGGAUCCCUCACAUUCAAGUCACCCCCUUUUUGAACUUUUGCCAUCUGGGCGGCGCUUCAGAGCCGCAAAUACCAGGACAGCCAGGCACAAGAACAGUUUUUUCCCCAGGCAAUCUACCUCAUGAACAAUUAAAUGUUCCCCACUUAUGCAAUAAAAAUGUGCAAUAUCCUUAUAUUUAUUUGUUACCCCUCCAUCCUAGUACAUCCCUGCAUUUCACUCUAUUCUAUUGCAUUAUCAUCUAUAGAACAACUGUUCAUACAAUUUAUUUAUAUUUAGAUUUAUUCUGCAAUAUGUCUAUUUUUUUUGUCUGUGUGUUGUUGUUGUCUCUGUGUACUGGAAGCUUAUGUCACUAAAACAAUUUCCUUGUAUUAGAAAAGCUCUUUCUGAUUCUGAUUCUUCUGAUCCUGAUUACCCUCUAAUCCCAUUUCACUAGAUAGUCCUGGACAUUUAGCUUCACUACACUACACAAGUUA